CACGUAGGGUGCGAGCGUUGUCCGGAAUUAUUGGGCGUAAAGAGCUCGUAGGCGGUGUGUCGCGUCGGCCGUGAAAACCUGCAGCUUAACUGGUGGCUUGCUUUCGAUACGGGGCAGACUGGAGGUAUGCAGGGGAGAACGGAAUUCCUGGUGUAGCGGUGAAAUGCGCAGAUAUCAGGAGGAACACCGGUGGCGAAGGCGGUUCUCUGG
rnacentral:rRNA from 1 species